rnacentral:lncRNA from 1 species
AAACUGAAAUAGAAGCCACAUUAGCCGAUGGCCUUGCAGUCCCUCAAGUAGGCUAUAACGCUUGGUUGACUUCUAAAAAUUUAGUAGAUAAGAUGGUAGUUGUUAAGGAAGAAUGGAUAGCUGUGGCCAUUUUAAGGUUUAUUGAAAAA